rnacentral:rRNA from 1 species
AGAGUUUGAUCCUGGCUCAGAAUCAACGCUGGCGGCGCGCCUAACACAUGCAAGUCGAACGAGAAAGCGGGGGCAACCUCGUGAGUAAAGUGGCGUACGGGUGAGUAACACGUGGAUCAUCUACCCUCUUGUGGGGGAUAACCCUGGGAAACCGGGGCUAAUACCGCAUAAGUCCGAGAGGAGAAAGCAGCAAUGCGCAGGAGGAGGAGUCCGCGGCCGAUUAGCUAGUUGGUAGGGUAAAAGCCUACCAAGGCUCCGAUCGGUAGCCGGCCUGAGAGGGCACACGGCCACACUGGCACUGAAACACGGGCCAGACUCCUACGGGAGGCAGCAGUGGGGAAUCUUGCACAAUGGGGGCAACCCUGAUGCAGCGACGCCGCGUGAGCGAUGAAGCCCUUCGGGGUGUAAAGCUCUUUCGGCAGGGAAGAUUAUGACGGUACCUGCAGAAGCAGCUGCGGCUAACUACGUGCCAGCAGCCGCGGUAAUACGUAGGCAGCAAGCGUUGUUCGGAGUUACUGGGCGUAAAGGGUGUGUAGGCGGUUUUCUAAGUCUGGUGUGAAAUCUCCCGGC